rnacentral:rRNA from 1 species
GACGAACGCUGGCGGCGUGCCUAAUACAUGCAAGUAGAACGCACAGGAUGCACCGUAGUUUACUACACCGUAUUCUGUGAGUUGCGAACGGGUGAGUAACGCGUAGGUAACCUGCCUGGUAGCGGGGGAUAACUAUUGGAAACGAUAGCUAAUACCGCAUAAGAACAUUUACUGCAUGGUAGAUGUUAAAAAGGUGCAAAUGCAUCACUACCAGAUGGACCUGCGUUGUAUUAGCUAGUAGGUGAGGUAACGGCUCACCUAGGCGACGAUACAUAGCCGACCUGAGAGGGUGAUCGGCCACACUGGGACUGAGACACGGCCCAGACUCCUACGGGAGGCAGCAGUAGGGAAUCUUCGGCAAUGGGGGGAACCCUGACCGAGCAACGCCGCGUGAGUGAAGAAGGUUUUCGGAUCGUAAAGCUCUGUUGUUAAGGAAGAACGAGUGUGAGAAUGGAAAGUUCAUACUGUGACGGACUAACCAAAAAGGACGG